UGGGGAAUAUUGGACAAUGGGCGAAAGCCUGAUCCAGCAAUGCCGCGUGAGUGAUGAAGGCCUUCGGGUUGUAAAGCUCUGUCGGGAGGGACGAAUAGGGUGGUGUAAUGGCCACUUCUGACGGUACCUCCAAAGGAAGCACCGGCUAACUCUGUACCAGCAGCCGCGGUAAUACAGAGGGUGCAAGCGUUGUUCGGAAUUACUGGGCGUAAAGCGCGUGUAGGCGGCGUCGUGAGUCAUAUGUGAAAGCCCUCGGCUCAACCGAGGAAGUGCAUGUGAUACUGCGAUGCUUGAGUGUUGGAGGGGGUGGCGGAAUUCCCGGUGUAGAGGUGAAAUUCGUAGAUAUCGGGAGGAACACCUGUGGCGAAGGCGGCCACCUGGACAACAACUGACGCUCACACACGGAAGCUAGGGUAGCGAAGAGGAUUAGAUACCCAUGUAGUCCCUGAGCGGGCUGGCAAGGCGCAU
rnacentral:rRNA from 1 species